rnacentral:snRNA from 1 species
CCUGGAAAUUCGUUUUGAGGUA